CCGAGUUUACAACUCCCAAACCCCUGUGAACAUACCUACGUUGCCUCGGCGGAUCAGCCCGCGCCCCGUAAAAAGGGACGGCCCGCCCGAGGACCCCUAAACUCUGUUUUUAGUGGAACUUCUGAGUAAAACAAACAAAUAAAUCA
rnacentral:misc_RNA from 1 species